AACUCACUACAAGCAAGAAAAGAGGUCAUCGCGCUUGCGCUUGGUUGAAAAGCCAGUGGCGUGAAGCUACCGUGCGCUGGAUUAUGACUGAACGCCUAUAAGUCAGAAUCUGCGCUAGAAGCGACGCGUGUGCCCGUCGCCUGUUUGCCGACCAACAGUAGGGGCCUUGUCCCCCAAAGGCACGUGUCGUAGGCAAAGCUCGCGUGGCGGACGAGUCGCGCGGGCCGGCUUGAAGUACAAUUCCCAUAAAGCGACGGGUAGAAUCCUUUGAAGACGACUUAAAUACGUGACGGGGUAUUGUAAGUGGCAGAGUGGCCUUGCUGCCACGAUCCACUGAGAUUCAGCCCUGCGUCGCUCAGAUUC
rnacentral:ncRNA from 1 species